rnacentral:misc_RNA from 1 species
GGAAAAAAAAAGGGGGAAAAAAAAGCUAAUUCUAAUGUAAUCCACAAUAGCAUUGUUUUGCAGUAAAUUUCCUUUCAAACGAUUGUCCGUCGCAAUUUCCAAGAACAAACACAAAAUCAUCAAAAGCCUACUCGUUUCUUAUCAAAAUUAUUUGCAUUCCAACUAAAUAUUAGAAGACAAAAGUAAAGUUACUUUUUGAGAAAGUAAUAAUUUUGAAGAUGAAAGAUUAUACUUACCUG